rnacentral:rRNA from 1 species
GGCGAACGCCGGCGGCAGGCCUAACGCAUGCAAGUCGAGCGCCCCGCAAGGGGAGCGGCAGACGGGAGAGUAACACGUGGGAACGUACCCUUUGGUUCGGAACAACCCAGGGAAACUUGGGCUAAUACCGGAUAAGCCCUUACGGGGAAAGAUUCAUCGCCGAAGGAUCGGCCCGCGUCUGAUUAGCUAGUUGGUGGGGUAACGGCCCACCAAGGCGACGAUCAGUAGCUGGUCUGAGAGGAUGAUCAGCCUCACUGGGACUGAGACACGGCCCAGACUCCUACGGGAGGCAGCAGUGGGGAAUAAUGGACAAUGGGCGCAAGCCUGAUCCAGCCAUGCCGCGUGGGUGUUGAAGGCCCUAGGGUUGUAAAGCCCUUUCGGCGGGGAAGAUAAUGACGGUACCCGCAGAAGAAGCCCCGGCUAACUUCGUGCCAGCCGCCGCAGUAA